rnacentral:rRNA from 1 species
GACGAACGCUGGCGGCGUGCUUAACACAUGCAAGUCGAACGGAAAGGCCCUGCUUUUGUGGGGUGCUCGAGUGGCGAACGGGUGAGUAACACGUGAGUAACCUGCCCUUGACUUUGGGAUAACUUCAGGCAACUGGGGCUAAUACCGGAUAGGAGCUCCUGCUGCAUGGUGGGGGUUGGAAAGUUUCGGCGGUUGGGGAUGGACUCGCGGCUUAUCAGCUUGUUGGGGGGGUAGUGGCUUACCAAGGCUUUGACGGGUAGCCGGCCUGAGAGGGUGACCGGGCACAUUGGGACUGAGAGACGGCCCAGACUCCUACGGGAGGCAGCAGUGGGGAGUAUUGCGCAAUGGGCGGAAGCCUGAUGCAGCAACGCCGCGUGCGGGAUGACGGCCUUCGGGUUGUGAACCGCUUUCGCCUGUGACGAAGCGUGAGUGACGGUAAUGGGUAAAGAAGCCCCGGCUAACUACGUG